AUUGAACGCUGGCGGCAGGCCUAACACAUGCAAGUCGAACGAGCGGCGGACGGGUGAGGAAUGUAUGGGGAACUGCCCGAUGGAGGGGGAUAACUACUGGAAACGGUAGCUAAUACCGCAUACGAUCGGCUGUGCCCAUAUGGGAGUAGCUAGUAGGUGGGGUAACGGCUCACCUAGGCGACGAUCCAUAGCUGGUCUGAGAGGAUGAUCAGCCACACUGGAACUGAGACACGGUCCAGACUCCUACGGGAGGCAGCAGUGGGGAAUAUUGCACAAUGGGCGCAAGCCUGAUGCAGCCAUGCCGCGUGUAUGAAGAAGGCCUGAGGGUUGUAAAGUACUUUCAGCCGGGAGGCGUUACUCGCAGAAGAAGCACCGGCUAACUCCGUGCCAGCAGCCGCGGUAAUUC
rnacentral:rRNA from 1 species